GCGAUCAGAUACCGCCCUAGUUCUGACCGUAAACGAUGCCAACUAGCGAUCCGCCAGUCGACUCAUCGCUCUGGUGGGGAGCUUCCCGGAAACGAAAGUCUUCCAGUUCCGGGGGAAGUAUGGUUGCAAAGCUGAAACUUAAAGGAAUUGACGGAAGGGCACCACCAGGAGUGGAGCCUGCGGCUUAAUUUGACUCAACACGGGGAAACUCACCCGGCCCGGACACCGUAAGGAUUGACAGAUUGAUAGCUUUUUCAUGAUUCGGUGGAUGGUGGUGCAUGGCCGUUCUUAGUUCGUGGAGCGAUUUGUCUGGUUUAUUCCGAUAACGAGCGAGACUCUGGCCUACUAAAUAGUUGACGCAUUGCCACUGUGCGCACAACUUCUUAGAGGGAUUUUCGGUGUUUUCAACCGCACGAAAUUGAGCAAUAACAGGUCUGUGAUGCCCUUAGAUGUCCGGGGCUGCACGCGCGCUACACUGGCAAACGUAACGUGCCUGUCCUGCCCCGAAAGGAGCGGGUAAACCCCUGAAAUUUUGCCGUGAUUGGGAUCGGACAUUGCAACUAUUGUCCGUGAACGAGGAAUUCCUUGUAGGGGCGAGUCAUCAACUCGUC
rnacentral:rRNA from 1 species